rnacentral:rRNA from 1 species
GCUUAACACAUGCAAGUCGAGGGGCAGCAUGGUCUUAGCUUGCUAAGGCCGAUGGCGACCGGCGCACGGGUGAGUAACACGUAUCCAACCUGCCGUCUACUCUUGGACAGCCUUCUGAAAGGAAGAUUAAUACAAGAUGGCAUCAUGAGUCCGCAUGUUCACAUGAUUAAAGGUAUUCCGGUAGACGAUGGGGAUGCGUUCCAUUAGAUAGUAGGCGGGGUAACGGCCCACCUAGUCUUCGAUGGAUAGGGGUUCUGAGAGGAAGGUCCCCCACAUUGGAACUGAGACACGGUCCAAACUCCUACGGGAGGCAGCAGUGAGGAAUAUUGGUCAAUGGGCGAGAGCCUGAACCAGCCAAGUAGCGUGAAGGAUGACUGCCUUAUGGGUUGUAAACUUCUUUUAUAAAGGAAUAAAGUCGGGUAUGGAUACCCGUUUGCAUGUACUUUAUGAAUAAGGAUCGGCUAACUCCGUGCCAGCAGCCGCGGUAAUACGGAGGAUCCGAGCGUUAUCCGGAUUUAUUGGGUUUAAAGGGAGCGUAGAUGGAUGUUUAAGUCAGUUGUGAAAGUUUGCGGCUCAACCGUAAAAUUGCAGUUGAUACUGGAUAUCUUGAGUGCAGUUGAGGCAGGCGGAAUUCGUGGUGUAGCGGUGAAAUGCUUAGAUAUCACGAAGAACUCCGAUUGUGAAGGCAGCCUGCUAAGCUGCAACUGACAUUGAGGCUCGAAAGUGUGGGUAUCAAACAGGAUUAGAUACCCUGGUAGUCCACACGGUAAACGAUGAAUACUCGCUGUUUGCGAUAUACUGCAAGCGGCCAAGCGAAAGCGUUAAGUAUUCCACCUGGGGAGUACGCCGGCAACGGUGAAACUCAAAGGAAUUGACGGGGGCCCGCACAAGCGGAGGAACAUGUGGUUUAAUUCGAUGAUACGCGAGGAACCUUACCCGGGCUUAAAUUGCAGAUGAAUUACGGUGAAAGCCGUAAGCCGCAAGGCAUCUGUGAAGGUGCUGCAUGGUUGUCGUCAGCUCGUGCCGUGAGGUGUCGGCUUAAGUGCCAUAACGAGCGCAACCCUUGUUGUCAGUUACUAACAGGUUCCGCUGAGGACUCUGACAAGACUGCCAUCGUAAGAUGUGAGGAAGGUGGGGAUGAUGUCAAAUCAGCACGGCCCUUACGUCCGGGGCUACACACGUGUUACAAUGGGGGGUACAGAGGGCCGCUACCACGCGAGUGGAUGCCAAUCCCCAAAACCUCUCUCAGUUCGGACUGGUGUCUGCAACCCGACUCCACGAAGCUGGAUUCGCUAGUAAUCGCGCAUCAGCCACGGCGCGGUGAAUACGUUCCCGGGCCUUGUACACACCGCCCGUCAAGCCAUGGGAGCCGGGGGUACCUGAAGUGCGUAACCGCGAGGAGCGCCCUAGGGUAAAACUGGUGACUGGGGCUAAG